rnacentral:lncRNA from 1 species
GGCUUACACAAAUGAUGAUAUUAGCACAUUAUAAAUUAAAUGAAUCCAGUAAUAUGUACUUCAUAGGUUAUCUCCAGCAUUGUAAGCAACAAUGUGAAAGUAUUUCGCAAGAUUAUAAAGAGGAAAAAUUAGAUCGUUAGGCAGAAAUCCCAGAUCAGCACCAUAGACAGCUCCCAGACUACCUCAAAGCUGCAUUAACUACAUAACAUGAAUAUGAAUCCAUGCUCCCUUAACACGGAGGCACCUGUGCCCU